rnacentral:lncRNA from 1 species
GAGCAAAUUAACAUGACAGUGUCCUCAUGAAUAAAAAUAACAUGACAGGUUAUAAUGACGAAAUAUGCGAAAGUGUGCGAUUAAUAAGGUCCUUCAUUACAGAUAGAGUAAUAUAUAAACUUAGAAGCUAGCUACUAAUGGCCUUGGUAGCUAAACUCAAGAACUUUAGCUUCUUUAUAUCUUGAUCUUCUUCUCAAGUUGUGUGUAUCAUACAUGAAGAAAUAUUAUAUAGUUUUUAUGAUCGUAGGUCCACUGAUAGCUGAUCCAUGUCUUCCCAUUCAUAUGUUUCCUACUCGAAAUAAUAAGACACAUCUUUAACAAGAAAAGAAAAAACCACAUUUGUGAGUAAACUACUGGCUGCAGAUGCAUGUCUUCCCCAACACCUUUGUUUUGAAGGUGAACAAUCUUCAUUAUUAACCUUCUCCGUUUCUUUGGCUCAACAACUUUCUGCCCAUCUGCGGCAACCACCACCUGUUGAUCUAGUGCUAAGCUGUUGUCUCGGGGAUUUCCCUCCAAACAAUCUUCUGUAGGUCAUUCAUACAAUCUUCAAUAAAAAUUGCUGUUGUUAAGAAAUGAACGAAAAUCUUUGUAAUUGAAUCUGUUUCUGUGAUUGUAUGUCUAUGUUUAGUGCAAUCGUAUUUGAUUUGCCAAUUUUCGCCAUCCAUAAUCGAAUCUUGAGUAUAUUGAAAAGAACAGGAAAAAGAAUUAAAUUUGAUGCAGAAAAAACAAUUUUUGCCUUUGACAGAGUUGUAAGUUGAAGAAGUUCUAAAACCUUUUCUAAGUUUUCGCCUCGGUGGGUGGAUUAUUGGUUGCCAGUUAUUUCUCGACACCAUGGUUUUAGAGGUCUUUAUUAAGCUUGGCCCUUUCUUCGGGUUUCCAGGAUGGAUGGUGUCACCUCC